rnacentral:tRNA from 1 species
GCGCCAUUAGCUCAACUGGAUAGAGUGGCAGACUUCGAAUCUGUAGGUUGGGGGUUCGAAACCCUCAUGGCGCACCA